UCUCGCCUUUCUCUCUGUCAUUUUUUCAUAAUAAUAAUGAACUGGCAGCAGCCAGCGUCAUCUCACAAGACCCUCGGGUGCCGUGAAUGUCAAUCAAGCAUGCUACGAAAUUUGCCGCCAAUGUUUUUCUUGUAAAGUGUAUGGAAGCUGGAUGAAUUAGAUGCCAAAAACCAACCACUUUCAUGUGGUAUUGUACAGAAAGGACAACUUUUUUUCUCCUCCAUUUGAAAAUGUGGGCGUUAUCAUCAUUACUGUCUGAUUCCAAUCAAUGCAAGUCAUCAGAAUCAGGUAAUACACCAACUUAUAUUCUUGUCUUCGUGAAAGAAAGACAUCUAUAUGUGUUACACAUGCUUGUAUUAUCAUUAAACACAUUUAACUUGUUUACAAAAAUGUCUCUUACAUAAAUAAAUAAAUAUAAAUUAUAUAUAUAAAUGAGGUCGAUCCCCUCGAGUUGGUCAAUUCAAAAGUAGCUCGCCUGCAGAAAAAGUGUGGGCACCCCUGAUGUACGCUAUGCGCAUGCACUGCGGCUACGUCUCAUGAGGUGGCAGUAAGCCAGCCAAUGAUGUGUCAUGUGCAGCUCAUGUGACCACGCAGUCUUCUUUGCCUGGAAACAUUCGAAAAAUAGCGGAGGAAAGCAGUACGGAUAGUUCAACGGAGAAACAUCUUGAGGUUAUUGCUUCAAUGGAGAAAAGUGUACGACCUAAGUCAAAAGUUUGGGAACACUUUAAAGGCUUCAAAGACAGUUUCUUGCAAAAUGUGCAGCAUGGACCUCACGUGGCACGGAAGGACAACAUUGCCUCGGGAGCACCUGAAAAGGAAACAUGUUGGAGCCAUGGAUGAAGGGAACGGAACUUACGAAAGAAACAAGCCGGCAUUAGAGACUUGGUAGAAAGGAAAGUCUGCACACCACAGCAAGCGGCUGCAUUGACUGAUGCUAUCGUGAAUAUGUUGGUAACUGACAUGAGGCCACUAUCAAUGGUGGAAGAUGAAGGUUUUAGACCAAUUAUUCACGUCCUCAACCCUGGUUACACUCUUCCCUCGAGGACCCAUUUUACCAAACUGAUGGAGAGGAAGUACGAGCAGACAUUCCAAGCAGUGUAGACUGACAUGAAAGCCACCCAGAGCCAAAUUGCUCUCACUACUGAUGUGUGGACAAGUGGCAAUACAUGCCACUACAUUGGAGACGAAUGGAACAUGAAGUCAAUCUGCCUUACGACCAUGCCACUAGAGGAAAGACAUUCUGCAUCCAAAAUGCAGAAUAGUUGGAAUAGGUAGUGGCCAGGUUUGAAAUUCCCCCAACUAAGGAACAUGAAGUCAAUCUGCCUUACGACCAUGCCACUAGAGGAAAGACAUUCAGCAUCCAACAUUGCAGAAUGGUUGGAAUAGGUAGUGGCCAGGUUUGAAAUUCCCCCAACUAAAAAUAUUGCUAUUGUGCAUGACAAUGGUGCACUUUAUAAAAAUUCAAAAUAAAAUUUUUUGUAACA